UACGAAGGGGGCUAGCGUUGCUCGGAAUCACUGGGCGUAAAGGGUGCGUAGGCGGGUUUUUAAGCAGGGGUGAAAUCCUGGAGCUCAACUCCAGAACUGCCUUUGAUACUGAAGAUCUUGAGUCCGGGAGAGGUGAGUGGAACUGCGAGUGUAGAGGUGAAAUUCGUAGAUAUUCGCAAGAACACCAGUGGCGAAGGCGGCUCACUGGCCCGGUACUGACGCUGAGGCACGAAAGCGUGGGGAGCAAACAGG
rnacentral:rRNA from 1 species